UGAUGUCGCCGUUCAACGAGGAGGACUUUUAGCAUGCCAGACAAAGACCCUGGCCGCGUGCUGCAUGUGCAGUUCGAUCUGGCCGAAGCCAAGCAAUUCUGCUGGUUGCUUAACCGUGCGGUCGCCACGCUACAGCCCGAGAAGUGGCCGCCGAUCACGGAAGAGCUGAUCCAGCAAGUUGAAAAAUUCGUGGAGGAGUAGACAUGAGGCGCGGCGCGUACAUUCACCCUGACGAUGUUCGUCAAACACUAUCGAAAAUGAUUGAUCAGAACAUCGAGCAGUUUCAGGUCGAAGACGACCGUGGCGGCACAGGCUAUUGGCGGAUUUACGUGGACGAAGUAGACGUGCCUGCCGCCAAGUUCCGCAAAGCAAUCGGAAAAGCUCAGCUAGUAAAGGAACACUAUUAAGAAUCAAGGCUGCGUUAUCGUUGUCGUUCGAGUCGCUAGACCAUCGUUAGUGUCUUGCCUUGACAUCGGUAUCGUAAAGCGCAUCUGCUAUGCAACGACCAUUUCCGCAGGUCAUGGGUUCGAUUCCCAUGCCCGCCUCCACAGUGCCUACGGGGCAUUCCAAGGCGGGCUAGCUCAGUCGGUAGAGCGACGGAAACUUUGUUAAUCGUUAUCGUCACCACAUAGCAGGCGUGGGGUUCAGCGCC
rnacentral:misc_RNA from 1 species